UACGUAGGGUGCGAGCGUUGUCCGGAAUUAUUGGGCGUAAAGGGCUCGUAGGCGGUUUGUCGCGUCGGGGGUGAAAACACCGGGCUUAACUCGGUGCUUGCUUUCGAUACGGGCAGACUAGAGGUAUGCAGGGGAGAACGGAAUUCCUGGUGUAGCGGUGAAAUGCGCAGAUAUCAGGAGGAACACCGGUGGCGAAGGCGGGUCUCUGGGCCGAUACUGACGCUGAGGAGCGAAAGCGUGGGGAGCAAACAGG
rnacentral:rRNA from 1 species